AGCAGCCGCGGUAAUUCCAGCUCCAAUAGCGUAUAUUAAAGUUGUUGCAGUUAAAAAGCUCGUAGUUGAAUUUCGGGAUUAGUACGUUGGUCGUGCCUUGGUACGUACUGGUGUAACUGAUUCCUCCCUUCUGACGAACCGUUAUGCCAUUAAUUUGGUGUGGCGGGAAAUCAGGACUGUUACUUUGAAAAAUUAGAGUGUUUAAAGCAGGCUCGCGCUUGAAUACAUUAGCAUGGAAUAAUGAAAUAGGACGUUAAUCCUAUUUUGUUGGUUUCUAGGAUCGACGUAAUGAUUAAUAGGGAUAGUUGGGGGCAUUAGUAUUCAAUUGUCAGAGGUGAAAUUCUUGGAUUUAUUGAAGACUAACUACUGCGAAAGCAUUUGCCAAGGAUGUUUUCAUUAAUCAAGAACGAAAGUUAGGGGAUCGAAGACGAUCAGAUACCGUCGUAGUCUUAACCAUAAACUAUGCCGACUAGGGAUCGGAUGAUGUUAAUUUUUAAUGACUCAUUCGGCGCCUUACGGG
rnacentral:sRNA from 1 species